rnacentral:rRNA from 1 species
CUACGGGGGGCAGCAGUAAGGAAUAUUGCACAAUGGGGGAAACCCUGAUGCAGCAACGCCGCGUGGAUGAAGAAGGCCUUCGGGUUGUAAAAUCCUUUUCUGGGGGAAGAGGAAGGACGGUACCCCAGGAACAAGUCUCGGCUAAGUACGUGCCAGCAGCCGCGGGUAAAACGUAGGAGGCGAGCGUUAUCCGGAUUCACUGGGCGUAAAGGGCAAGUAGGCGGUUGAAAAAGUUGGGUGUGACAUCUCUCGGCUUAACUGGGAGGGAGCGCUCAAGACUAUUCGACUAGAGGGCAGAAGAGGGGGGUAGAACUCCAAAUGUAGCGGUGGAAUGCUCAGAUAUUUGGAAGAAUACCAGUGGCGAAGGCGACCCCCUGGUCUGAACCUGACGCUGAGAGGCGAAAGCUAGGGUAGCGAACGGGAUUAGAUACCCUCGUAGUC